UACGUAGGGGGCAAGCGUUGUCCGGAUUUAUUGGGCGUAAAGAGCUCGUAGGCGGCUCGGUAAGUCGGAUGUGAAACCUCCAGGCUCAACCUGGAGACGCCAUCUGAUACUGCCGUGGCUUGAGUCCGGUAGAGGAGCAGGGAAUUCCUGGUGUAGCGGUGAAAUGCGCAGAUAUCAGGAGGAACACCGACUGCGAAGGCAGCUCGCUGGGCCGUCCCUGACGCUGAGGCGCGAAGGCGUGGGGAGCGAACGGG
rnacentral:rRNA from 1 species